GAUGAACGCUGGCGGCGUGCUUAACACAUGCAAGUCGAACGGAAAGGCCCAAGCUUGCUUGGGUACUCGAGUGGCGAACGGGUGAGUAACACGUGGGUGAUCUGCCCUGCACUUCGGGAUAAGCCUGGGAAACUGGGUCUAAUACCGGAUAGGACGAUGGUUUGGAUGCCAUUGUGGAAAGUUUUUUCGGUGUGGGAUGAGCUCGCGGCCUAUCAGCUUGUUGGUGGGGUAAUGGCCUACCAAGGCGUCGACGGGUAGCCGGCCUGAGAGGGUGUACGGCCACAUUGGAACUGAGAUACGGCCCAGACUCCUACGGGAGGCAGCAGUGGGGAAUAUUGCACAAUGGGAGCAAGCCUGAUGCAGCGACGCCGCGUGGGGGAUGACGGCUUUCGGGUUGUAAAAUCCUUUCGCUAGGGACGAAGCGUUUUUGUGACGGUACCUGGAGAAGAAGCACCGGCUAACUACGUG
rnacentral:rRNA from 1 species